AGGGCAGGCAAGAACGAGAGUGAGCUGGCGACCUCGUGCAGUGGAAAGGAUCGCGUCGUGGCGGCCAUAUGAAGUGUGGCGCGUUGCAGCCUAAGUGGAGAGGAGGCGAGGCGGAGGCGGGGGCAGAACAGAGGAGUUUCAUAACUGCCAGAAGCGGAACUUCCACAAUUUGCAAUGAGGAAACCGAAGCCCGGAAGGAGGAAAUGAAUUUUAAAAACCUACAAAGACAGAAAGCUAUUGGAGGAGAUAACAAGGAGCUAAGCUAAAUCAAAGACAAGGAAGUUACAGACUCUGGAAUCGAGUAAGUAGAUCCUGUAUAGGAAAGGAGUAAAAGUGAUUCCACGAAAAGCAAAGAAAAGUUACAGAGUAGCAGCUGUACAGCAGGCUUAAAGAGUAACCAGUCCAGAAUGCAGCAGCCAGAUGAAAAUUAAAUCUGACCAUAUAGAAAAUGGAAUUGAGAGACUACUGUAGGGUGAAGAAAAACUUAUCAACAAGUGCAGUAGUACCUAGGCAAAUGAAAAUAGCAUUUUAGUACUAUUACACUUGAAAAAAAAACUAUAUAGCUAUGUCACUUUCAUUUAUAACUGUAAUUGAAAAGACAGCCUGUAAAAUGGAAGAAAAUAUUGGCAAAUGACAUAUCUGGUAAGUGUCUAGAGUCCAGAAUGUAUAAAGAACACUUACAACUCAAUAACAAAAAGACAAACAACCCAAUUUAAAAAAUGGACAAAGGAUUUAAGUAGACAUUUUCCCAAAGAUAUGUAAGUGGCCAAUAAGUACAAGAAAAAAAAAAAUAACAUCGUUUAUCAUCAGGGAAAUGCAAAUCAAAACCACAAUGAGGUGCCACUUUAGACCCACUAUGAUGGCUGUAAUAAAAAAGAUGGAAAAUAACAAGUGUUGAUAAAAAAUGUGGAGAAAUUAGAACUCUUCUACAUUGCUGUUGGGAAUGUAAUAUGUACAGUAGUUUGGAAAACAGUUUAAGACUUCCUCAAAA